rnacentral:rRNA from 1 species
AUGGUCCUGCCGCGCCGGCGCGGCGGCCACAACCACCACCCGUGCCCGCGCCGCGCCGUUCUGCCGGCGGCGGCGCUACUGCUGCUCUUCCUCCUCGCCGCCGUCACGCUGCUCUACGUCUCUCCGCCGCCUCUGUCCGACCACCCGGCCCUCGCCUACUCCCGCCGCCGCUCCCCGCAUGCUCUGCUGAACAGCUCUGGCGGCGGCAGCCUAGUGGAGCCCGGGCGCCGCGAGAUUUCCCGCGUUCCAAAAGGUGGUUGGAGUGCGACAGAUGGCCUCUGGGGUUCGAAGCUCGCUAGCAAAUUCUAUGGGUGCAGCAACUCAAGCAGCAAGUUUCUUGAUUCAGGUGUUAUGACACAUCCAGACCGUUAUUUGAUGAUUGUUACAAGUGGAGGCCUCAAUCAACAGAGAACAGGGAUAAUUGAUGCUGUUGUUGCUGCACGUAUUUUAAAUGCAACACUCGUUGUUCCCAAAUUGGACCAAACCUCCUUCUGGAAAGAUGCAAGUGACUUUGCUGAAAUUUUUAACGCCGACUGGUUCAUCUCAUUUCUAUCAAAGGAUGUAAGGAUUGUGAAAGAGCUUCCAAAGAUAGGAGGUAAACUGUGGGCUCCUCAUAGAAUGCGUGUGCCCCGCAAAUGCACUCAGCGAUGUUACUUGAACCGUGUGUUGCCUGCACUUGUUAAGAAACAUGUUGUUCGACUAACAAAAUUUGAUUAUAGGCUAGCAAACAGGUUGGAUUCUGAUCUGCAAAAGCUGAGGUGCAGAGUUAACUACCAUGCAUUGAGAUUUACUGACCCAAUACAAGAAAUGGGUGAAAAGAUAAUACAGAGAAUGCGGGAGAGGAGCACAUAUUUUAUUGCUCUUCAUUUAAGAUUUGAACCGGAUAUGCUUGCCUUUUCUGGGUGCUACUACGGUGGUGGAGAAAAGGAGAAGAGAGAACUUGGUGUGAUACGGAAGAGAUGGAAAACCUUGCAUGCUAGCAAUCCAGAGAAAGAAAGAAGGCACGGUAGGUGCCCACUAACUCCUGAAGAGGUGGGGUUGAUGUUGAGGGCACUGGGCUACAGAAAGAAUGUUCAUAUUUAUGUUGCCUCUGGAGAUAUAUAUGGUGGGGCAAAGACGUUAGCACCCCUGAAAGCGCUAUUCCCCAAUCUUCAUACCAAAGAAACAGUAACAAGCAAAGACGAGCUGGCUCCGUUCUCAAAGUACUCAUCUCGCAUGGCCGCACUUGAUUUCAUUGUCUGUGAUGGAAGUGAUGCUUUUGUGACUAACAACAAUGGUAAUAUGGCCAAAAUUUUGGCUGGGCGAAGGAGAUAUCUUGGGCAUAAGAGAACGAUCCGACCAAAUGCGAGAAAGCUCUACUCGUUAUUCUUGAGCAGAGGAAACAUGUCCUGGGAUGCAUUCUCCUCCAAAGUGCACAUGGCCCAGAAAGGAUUUAUGGGGGAGCCCAAAGAGCUGAGGCCAGGAAGGGGGGAGUUCCACGAGAACCCCACGACAUGUAUAUGUGAAAACACUGAUCCCAAAACACCGACCAAACCUAACCCUCGAAGCGAGCAAGGAUUGAUUAAUGGCACCGAGGGUAGGAAAGCCAUUACCGAGCCCACAGUUGCUAAUCAUACCAACGAGGAGUUGGUAGGAUCCAGUGCGGAAGAAGACGACGCUAGCGUGGAGAAAGAAGACGACACUAGUGCGGAGAAAGAAGAUGACACUAGUGAAGAGAAAGAGGAGAUAGCUGACCCGGAAGCGGAGGAUGAUGCGUUGGUGAGACCAGAUGAUCCUGAGCUGGAGGAGGUUCUUUCAGAUUAG